UAACUGUUUUUCAACCUUCAUCAACACCCCAAACUUAGAACUUUGCUUGUCCUCAAGCAAACAAAACAAAACAACACAAAAAACAAAGCUUGGCUUUAUACUAUUUCAUCCAAUGUUUCAACAUUCCCUAAGUACAUGACAAAACUACUCAAUCCCAAUUCUUCAGUGAAAUCAAAAUAAUAUCCAUGCAUGCACAACUCUCUUUCUCACCAAUCUCACUUAUUCCCAACUUCUUCCCUUUUCUUUUUCAUUGAGCUCAUCUUCAUGCUUUUCUUCUUUUCUUUUCUUUUUCUCAUGAAUUUUUCUUUCUCAACAUUUAAGCUCAAUGCUUCUUAAUAGCUUUUCAAUUUCCCCCAUGCAACCCCAAACUUGAACCUUUUCAUCACAUACAGUUAAGCUCAACCCAACUCAAGGUAAAGAAUUUCAAAGCAAGGGUUCACAUCCUGUUUAAAGCUACGGUUCAAAAGAGG
rnacentral:lncRNA from 1 species